rnacentral:rRNA from 1 species
ACGACGCUGGCGGCGUGCCUAAUACAUGCAAGUCGAACGGUCUUUUCUAUGGAAGCUUGCUUCCACUGAGAAGAUAGUGGCGAACGGGUGAGUAACACGUGGGUAACCUGCCCAUAAGAGGGGGAUAACAUCCGGAAACGGGUGCUAAUACCGCAUAGUUUUUCUUGAUCGCAUGAUUGAGAAAGGAAAGACGGCCUUUGUGCUGUCGCUUAUGGAUGGACCCGCGGCGUAUUAGUUAGUUGGUGAGGUAAUGGCUCACCAAGACGAUGAUACGUAGCCGACCUGAGAGGGUGAUCGGCCACAUUGGGACUGAGACACGGCCCAAACUCCUACGGGAGGCAGCAGUAGGGAAUCUUCCGCAAUGGACGAAAGUCUGACGGAGCAACGCCGCGUGAGUGAAGAAAGGUUUUCGGAUCGUAAAACUCUGUUGUCAGAGAAGAACAAGUUGGAGAGUAACUGCUCCAGCCUUGACGGUAUCUGACCAGAAAGCCACGGCUAACUACGUGCCAGCCGCAGC